GACGAACGCUGGCGGCGUGCUUAACACAUGCAAGUCGAACGGAAAGGCCCUGCUUUUGUGGUGUGCUCGAGUGGCGAACGGGUGAGUAACACGUGAGUAACCUGCCCUUGACUUUGGGAUAACUUCAGGAAACUGGGGCUAAUACCGGAUAGUAGCUCCUCCUGCAUGUUGGGGGUUGGAAAGUUUCGGCGGUUGGGGCUGGACUCGCGGCUUAUCAGCUUGUUGGUGGGGUAGUGGCUUACCAAGGCUUUGACGGGUAGCCGGCCUGAGAGGGUGACCGGCCACAUUGGGACUGAGAUACGGCCCAGACUCCUACGGGAGGCAGCAGUGGGGAAUAUUGCACAAUGGGCGGAAGCCUGAUGCAGCAACGCCGCGUGCGGGAUGACGGCCUUCGGGUUGUAAACCGAUUUCGCCUGUGACGAAGCGUGAGUGACGGUAAUGGGUAAAGAAGCACCGGCUAACUACGUG
rnacentral:rRNA from 1 species